GUGAAAAAGAACCUGAAACCGUGUACGUACAAGCAGUGGGAGCACAGAGCAAUCUGUGUGACUGCGUACCUUUUGUAUAAUGGGUCAGCGACUUAUAUUCUGUAGCAAGGUUAACCGAAUAGGGGAGCCGAAGGGAAACCGAGUCUUAACUGGGCGUUAAGUUGCAGGGUAUAGACCCGAAACCCGGUGAUCUAGCCAUGGGCAGGUUGAAGGUUGGGUAACACUAACUGGAGGACCGAACCGACUAAUGUUGAAAAAUUAGCGGAUGACUUGUGGCUGGGGGUGAAAGGCCAAUCAAACCGGGAGAUAGCUGGUUCUCCCCGAAAGCUAUUUAGGUAGCGCCUCGUGAAUUCAUCUCCGGGGGUAGAGCACUGUUUCGGCAAGGGGGUCAUCCCGACUUACCAACCCGAUGCAAACUGCGAAUACCGGAGAAUGUUAUCACGGGAGACACACGGCGGGUGCUAACGUCCGUCGUGAAGAGGGAAACAACCCAGACCGCCAGCUAAGGUCCCAAAGUCAUGGUUAAGUGGGAAACGAUGUGGGAAGGCCCAGACAGCCAGGAUGUUGGCUUAGAAGCAGCCAUCAUUUAAAGAAAGCGUAAUAGCUCACUGGUCGAGUCGGCCUGCGCGGAAGAUGUAACGGGGCUAAACCAUG
rnacentral:rRNA from 1 species